UUUCUUUGUAACAAAAUAUUUUGCCAAAUCCGAGAAAAAAAUUUGUCGAAAGAAACUUUCCUUUAGAAAAUUUAAUUAAAAUACUUGAAAUAUUACAUCUAUGACGUAGAACUCGUGACGUAACGCCUGACGCAUUGCAACGACAAAUUCGAAUUCGUUCCAUUUCGUAUUGUUGCCGACGCCAUCUUGGAAAUUUAUGCUUUCCGGAAAUUGCGAGUUCUUUUUCCCUCCAUUUUGACAUUUUUCGUACGAAUUUUAAUAACCAAAGCUUGCAUAACAAAGAAGUAUUAUUCUCAAAUGUUAUAAUCCAUUUUCCAAAGAGACGUGGAAACAUUUUGGAAACUUCUUUUGCUCAAAACAAUUAACAAGCAGCAAAACAACAGACAGAUGGAGAAUGGCUUUCAAGAUAUAAGACAAUUUGCUGUUUGUAAAUUAAAAUUGGAACAGAAGCUAAAGAUUUUGAACUUUAUGAAAAGAUUUGGAAGAGUUUCAUUGCAUCUUUCGAUAGGUGGUUUCUACAUUAUCGAUAAAAGAAUUCCUUUUAAGGUAACUG